GCAUGGGGGCAGGGCUUAUGCUUUGUGAUUGCCAGCUUGUCCCAGGAUCACUACAGAUUGGCAUUUAUGGACGACUUUUUGAAACUACAGAUGGUUUUCCUUGGCCAUGACCGAGCACUUCUAUAAUUUUCGAAGUCCUGUGCAUAGCCAUACAAAUUCUUUCUCAAGCACUCAGCAACCAAACAUCCCAAUGUGUUAAGGUCCUACAUAUACUGGAGAACUGCUAGCAAGACUCAGAUAUUUACUUCUUAAUGCUGAAGGUUAUGCAUUAUCUAAUGACUCUGCAAGCUAGUGUUUUACUAUAGCUGACAGUCGCAAGAAUUCUUUCAAUAUCUUUUAGAAUGUUUAAUGACAAUACUCGCCCGAGCAAGGAGCAGAGCAGAGCUUAAGAAGACU